UACGUAGGGGGCAAGCGUUGUCCGGAUUUAUUGGGCGUAAAGCGCGUGUAGGCGGUCCGGUAAGUCCGCUGUGAAAGUCGGGGGCUCAACCCUGGAAUGCCGGUGGAUACUGUCGGGCUAGAGUGCGGUAGAGGCGAGUGGAAUUCCUGGUGUAGCGGUGAAAUGCGCAGAUAUCAGGAGGAACACCUAUUGCGAAGGCAGCCCGCUGGGACGUAACUGACGCUGAGACGCGAAAGCGUGGGGAGCAAACGGG
rnacentral:rRNA from 1 species